AUUUCCGUAAGAGGAAAGCUGAGUUUGGGGAUUUUCAUUCAUCUGAGUUUAAUUACGUUUUUAUACUUUAUAAUUCGUAACUAAUUCGUAUUUUGAUUGUUGGGUAUAAACCAAAGGUCCCACAUCGGAAGUUAAGAAAAAGAGUUUCUAAUAUAUAAGUCAAGUCCAACUCCAACUAGUAUGAGGCAUUUUGGGAAGUAACCCAAUAACAAAUUCUUGAGGGCUUGAACAUGUAGACCCAAAGAGGACAAUAUCAUACUAAAAAGGAGUUGGAAUGGACUUUAGAAAGGAAAAUAAAGAUGAAGGAGGAAAUGGCGAGAAACAGAACAAGAAGAAGAAGAAUGAUCCUCA
rnacentral:sRNA from 1 species